GGCUUCGUAGCUCAGCUUGUAGAGCGCUUGCCGCGUAGAGGCAUGGUGUUUCUGUCGCUGGUUCGAAUCCAGCCGAAGCCC
rnacentral:tRNA from 1 species